UACGUAGGUGGCAAGCGUUGUCCGGAUUUAUUGGGUUUAAAGGGUGCGUAGGCGGUCUUUUAAGUCAGUGGUGAAAUACUUCAGCUCAACUGGAGAGGUGCCAUUGAUACUGGGAGACUUGAGUACUGAUGAGGUAGGCGGAAUGGACGGUGUAGCGGUGAAAUGCUUAGAUAUCGUCCAGAACACCGGUAGCGAAGGCAGCUUACUAAGGAGUAACUGACGCUGAGGCACGAAAGUGUGGGGAUCAAACAGG
rnacentral:rRNA from 1 species